rnacentral:rRNA from 1 species
UACCAGCACCCCGAGUGGUCGGGACGAUUAUUGGGCCUAAAGCAUCCGUAGCCGGUUUUACAAGUCCUCCGUUAAAUCCAGCUGCUUAACAGAUGGGCUGCGGAGGAUACUAUAAGACUAGGAGGCAGGAGAGGCAAGCGGUACUCAGUGGGUAGGGGUAGAAUCCGUUGAUCCAUUGAAGACCACCAGUGGCGAAGGCGGCUUGCCAGAAUGCGCUCGACGGUGAGGGAUGAAAGCUGGGGGAGCAAACCGG